AUCUCUUUACAGCAAUAAGCCCUAAGUCACUGAUAUUUUAAAACUGUGAUGAUUGAGUUAUUAAGUUGUUAACUCCUCGAGCCAGUGCUGAAUUAGUUUCUACCUAUGACGCUGUGCUCUCUUCUGACGUACCGACAAUCACUGUCUUCUUCCAGGUUGCUGAGAUAGCUGAAGAGUUAGCCACUCUCCCCAAAAGAGCUCAGCUAGCGGCCGCUUUCAUCACCUACCUUUCUGCUGCUCCAGAAGGCCUCAGGAAGAACUGUCUGGAAGAGUGGACGAAGGCAGCUGGCCUCGAGAAAUUUGAUCUCAGGCGGUUUCUCUGUACUGAAAGUGAGCAGUUGAUCUGGAAAAGUGAAGGCCUUCCAUCUGAUGACCUUUCCAUUGAGAAUGCCCUUGUGAUCUUACAGGUAAUACACGAGAUUGUCUUGGGGGCAUUAUAAUUAAAUGCCUCUUGCAUGUUUCUACUUUAAAGUAAAAUCUCAAAUAUAUUGGUAAUUAAAGUUGAUUAUCUACAGUUCAAUAUACUUUAUUUUUUAAUUUAAUAUAAAAGUGUAAGCUAAGACAACCUUUUCUGGUGAUAGAACUCUCAAAAUUGAACUUUCUAGUCUUAAUGGUUAUAUUGUAGAGAAACCUGAUUCUCCUCAUGGUCUAUUUCUUUCAUAAAUUUUGUAUUUGACUUUAACUUACCAAACAAAGUUCUAAAAUGAGAAAAUAAGUUUUAGGUUACAAGUAGGAAAUGAAGAGAUGUAUAUUUUGGAAACUUGUUUCAUGUAGUGUGUAUCUUUUAUACAGUUGAAAAUAAUUUCUUGGUAGCAAAUGUAAAGCCACAUUCAAAGCCAUGGUUUCAAACACCGUAGACUAAAACUUAUGUUGUUCAGUGCCUGUUUCAUGUACAUCCUGAGUCUGUUUUGUUUGCUCUCUUUGCCCAGCCUCCCUGUCUCUCAGUGGCCUCCCUGUGACCUCCCCACUAGUUCCCUUCUUACAUUUAUCCCUUUUUGUUUUGUGACUUGAUGAACAAAUUGUGAGUGUUUAAUGAAUUUUGAUGUUGUCAUUAAUUUGUACCUUUCACAAUUUGUACCUUUGUCUACUGCAUGUGUGUGCAUAGAUAUAAUGGAAGUCAGAAGGCAUCAUGUCUGAAUUGUCUCCCCUUCUCUCUUGUGGUCAGGCUAGGGCGCCAGUACCUUCACCAGCUGAGCUGUUCUUGUGGGCCCAUGCAAAUUACACACUAACUUUCCUGCUAACUGAUAUGAAAUUAUUUUUUGUUUCAAUAGCUUAUACUUUAUAACACUAUUUUCUCUCCUUUCUGAAACUUUUUUCCUGAACAUAUUUUUCUUUAGUCUCCUACUUACCUCCAAGUGGUGUGUGUGUGUAUGUUAUAUAAUAUUUCAUAUAAACAUAUUAGUAUUAUAUACAUAACACACACAUUAAAUGAUAUGAUCUUGGUUUGGGGUUCUACUUAUUUUUUAAAUUUUCUUUUAUUAGACCUCUUAACUGUCCAUACGUUAGUUCAGUAUACUGGUGUGUUACCUAGAAGAAAUUGCUGACUACAAAUUGAAUGUCUUUCUUCAUUUAAUUUGUUGCUACUGUUUUUCUGUUUUUAAACAACUGGAAUAAAUAUCUGGAGUCCCAGUUGCUCUUUUAGAUAACACACUAGUAGUAUGUUGCCCUAUAUUGUUUUCUGUCACCCUAUCCCUUGUUUUUGUCAUGCUUGUCAUUCUUUUCUUCCAGGUUUCUUACUCGUUCCUUCUUCCCAUUGUAGUAAUCAAAGAAAGUUCUGAUUUUCAAAUGUUAAGCUGGCAUAGUGGCACAUUCAUGCUAUCCUAGCCCGAGAGGCUAAAGCAGGAAGAUUUUGAGGAGCUCAAGGCUACAUAUACAUGGUGGGUCCAUAUCUCAAAAACCAAAGCAAAACAAACUAUAAACCACCCCCACAGAAACCUUGAUGGUUUAAGAAUUAUUUUCUAACAGUGGGUGAAAAGGAAGGUCAGCCUUUAGGAAACAUGUUUGGUGGUGGUUGGGGGUGGCUAAUAACCAACCCAAAAGACAAAUGUUUACAGGAUUGGGUUUAAUAGUCAAUUUGGACAGUUCCCUUUGAAUUUGAUUUUAAUAUGUCAAAUUCUUUUGAAUACUCAUGCAUACUUCUAAUGCACUCCUUCCAAAAAAUCUCUUGGAAAAUAAAUAAGAGUGAAUUUUCCAUUAUAAUAAAUAUUACAUCUCAGUUUAAGGUAGUUUAGGGCUGAAAUAUGCUGUAGUCAGAUGUGUGGUUGGGAAGUACAUGCUUAGUAACAUCUUCUAUGAAUAUACUAGGUGAGUUUUGUGAAAUUAAUUAAGGACUAACUACUUGCAUAUCAUAUUAUCCAGGCUGGUUUUGAACUUGCUAUGUGGUCAAAAGUGACCUUGAACUUCCAAUCUUUCUGACUCUAUUUCACAAGUACUAGUAUUAUGUAUAGGCCUAAGUCAACACGGUGGCUCCCUCUGUUUUAGGGAGUAGAUGGAUUUGGUCACAGAUAGCUUUCUCUACCUUUCAUUAACUGGCUCUUACUGACUUCCCAUUGACCAGUUUCACAGUUUGUUUCCCACUCAAAGUGUAUCCCUCCUUCCUCGAAUCCCUUCCCCAUCCAUUAGUCGUAAAGGACCCAGGUGAUCCACCUGUGUAGAAAUGCAGUGCAGUGGUAGGUGAGCCCUAUUUGUGUGUGGCCUUCUCAUGACCUUGAGUGUAUCAUGCAGGGCAGGCCAGGCAGCCCUCCAUUACAAAC
rnacentral:lncRNA from 14 species